AGAGUUUGAUCAUGGCUCAGAAUGAACGUUGGCGGCGUGGAUUAGGCAUGCAAGUCGAGCGAGAACCCCGCAAGGGGGGAAAGCGGCGAAAGGGACAGUAAUGGGUAGAUAUCUGCCCUCGGGUUCGGGAUAGCUGCGGGAAACUGCAGGUAAUACCGAAUAACAUCUCCGGAUCAAAGGUGUGAUUCCGCCCGAGGAUGAGUCUGCCUCCUAUUAGCUAGUUGGUAAGGUAACGGCUUACCAAGGCCAUGAUGGGUAGCAGGUGUGAGAGCACGACCUGCGUCAUUGGGACUGAGACACUGCCCAGACACCUACGGGUGGCUGCAGUCGAGAAUCUUCGGCAAUGGGCGCAAGCCUGACCGAGCGACGCCGCGUGUGGGAUGAAGGCCUUCGGGUUGUAAACCACUGUCAGAGGGGAGGAAAUGCAGGUGGGUACUCCCAUCUGUUUGACCUAGCCUCAGAGGAAGGACGGGCUAAGUUCGUGCCAGCAGCCGCGGUAAGACGAACCGUCCGAACGUUAUUCGGAAUCACUGGGCUUAAAGGGUGCGUAGGCGGCGCGAAAAGUUGGGUGUGAAAUCCCUCGGCUUAACCGAGGAACUGCGCCCAAAACUAUCGUGCUCGAGGGAGAUAGAGGUGAGCGGAACUUAGGGUGGAGCGGUGAAAUGCGUUGAUAUCCUAAGGAACACCGGUGGCGAAAGCGGCUCACUGGAUCUCUUCUGACGCUGAGGCACGAAAGCUAGGGUAGCGAACGGGAUUAGAUACCCCGGUAGUCCUAGCCGUAAACGAUGAGCACUGGAUUGGAGGGUCCUCCAUAGCCUUCCGGUCGCAGCGAAAGUGUUAAGUGCUCCGCCUGGGGAGUAUGGUCGCAAGGCUGAACUCAAAGGAAUUGACGGGGGCUCACACAAGCGUGGAGGAUGUGGCUUAAUUCGAGGCUACGCGAAGAACCUUAUCCUAGUCUUGACAUGCCACGGAUUAGUC
rnacentral:rRNA from 1 species